rnacentral:lncRNA from 1 species
AGGGGAAGGAGCGAAGAUGGCGGAGUGAGGCGUGCCCCGGGCAGCUGGCCUGCGGGCCCGGGGCAGGCCUCCCGUGAGAAGCGGAGUACUUGUGCUGGACCGUGUGAGGAACCAUAUCACACAAGAUGAAUAUUUUCCUGACCUUAGGUGCUUUUAUAUUCAGCUCAACAUUCUGAACUCAGGACUUGGCACGUAAGUAGAUAGAGAUAAUCAUCCCAAGUCCUGUUGUAGCGGCUUGAAAGGCUCCAUAGAAGCGACAUACUAAACUGUUAAGAGCAACAGAAGAUGAAGAUAAAAAUGAGUACAAGCCAGCUACCAUGGCUCACCUUUAUGCCCAGCUCUUGGGACCUGGGGAACUGAGGAAUUCCUAUGUGGACUGCUCAGUGAGGCGUCCUGGUUCUUCCAUCCUGUUACUUUCCCCAGUGAGAUGCAGAUGUCUUUCGACAGAUUACCUCCAUGGUUUAGGAUGCAGAGACUGCCUUUCUUUUACGUCAGACUCAACACAGGAAAGCCGUGAGGAUGCAGCCGUCCUGUUGACUUCAGCAAGAAAACAAACCAUGGACUUGGGUCUUCUGCAGCUUUUGAAUUGGAAAGACGGUGUUUGCAAGUAGAAGGAAGAUGCUGAAUUUGAAACAAGUGCUUAGGUUCUGUGGCGGAGCUGCUCAUUAAUACAAACCAGGAAAGAAACCAUUCUGCCCAAGUACCCUCACCACCCUCCAGCUCUCAGCAGGAACUGGCCUGAGUGUCAUAAACAGGCGCCACCAUCAGUGUGAAGUUCAGUGCUGACUGAGGACCCGGCAAGGCCCUGCAGCAAGGUGGUUUUGUAGGAUACAGAAGUUCAGACUCAGGCUGUGCUGUGGCUCUGUUUACAACUGCAGAGCUGGAGUUGUUCUUCAGAUGAGUCGGUCAAAAUGUGUCACUUGCCUGAAACUUGAUUCCUGAGGAACAGGAGAAAACUUUCUUCUUCCAAAAAAUAUAUUUAUUUGGAUAAAUGAAUAUUGGUUUGUUAUAAUAGUGAAAGGAACAGAAGUGUAAUCUACUGGCAGAACAUUUACCUGAGAAAAUGGGUUUAAUUGCAGCACUACCAAAAAAAACCUCAUGGUGGUAACAUAAGAAUUUCUUGACUUUGAAAUGCAAGUUACAAAAUGAUUUUGACAAAUGAGAAGUAUUUAUAAUGUCUGAAAGGCCUAAAUAGAUUUCAAAUAAAACUGUUUCACUGGAUUCAGUCCAAUUUACCUGUUAUAUGAUGGAAAACUAGUUCCAAAUUUAACUUUCACCGUGGUCCUUUGCUAUGGAUGUCAACUGGAAUGGUGACUCCUAACCUUCAGAACUGAACUAAAGUUGUCAGUGUGAUGGUUGCUUUCCACUGAAACACAGGAAUCAAAGUAUGUGUUGUAUCCCAAAUAGAAGUGUUCUUUGCCACUUACUAAUAAAGAUGUAAGGUCAGAGUUCUUCCUUCUAGCAUUCUCUUCCUAAUAGUCACCAAAGUCAAAGCAUCAAACGGCAAGACUUGGUGUGUAUUUGGUAGACUCAGGCUUUAUAAGAUACCUUUAAAGGGGCUUGAGAGAUGGCUCAGCAAUUUAGAGUACUGGCUGCUCUUCCAAAGGCCCUGAGUUCAAAUCCCAGCAACCAGAUGGUGGCUCACAACCACCCAUAAUGAGAUCUGACGCCCUCUUCUGGUGUGUCUGAAGACAGCAAAAGCGUACUUAUUUUAUUUAUAAUAAUAAAUAAAUCUUUGGGCCAAAGGGAGCAGGGACUGAACGAGUGGGGCCAGCCAGAGCAAGUGGGGUUAACCAGAGCAAGCAGAGGACCUAAAAUUCAAUUCCCAACAACCACAUGAAGGCUCACAACCAUCUGUUCAGUUACAGUGUACUCAUAUGUAUAAAAUAAAUAAAUCUUUUUUAAAAAAGAUACUUUUAAAGGCAGAAUACAGUUAGGAUUAAUGGUGAUUUUCCAAACAUUUUGACAUCUUUGGUAAUGGUAUGCUGUAUCCUUAAUUUAAAUGUUCUUUUGUGCUUGGAACAUAGCUCUUGGAGAACACUUGGACUCAGGCCAGUCCUCAACACUUGACACCCUAUCCCAAAGAUCAGACAAGAAUUGUGUCAGUGUGUUAUCAGUCUAUAAACAACAUUACUAGUCUGAGCCUAAGCAUCCCUGUAAUGACAAAGAUUAAGAGCGGUAAUCGACUUGAGAGUGGUGCAUUUUCUGCCCUUCAAGCAUAGGUGUCACUGUUCGCUUGCCCUUCCUUGUAUCUUGUAUUGCGCCACCAGUGUAUGAGGUGAUGUUAAAGAGCACCAGUGAAUGUUUAAAGCACUCUAAAAGGCAGCUUCUUAAUCUAUGCAUCUUUGGGAGUUUUGAAGAAAUUUGACUUCUUGGGAAAGGAACUGUUUUUUGAGAGUCUGAAACUGCACCUGUAUGUAUAUAUUUUUAGCAAUAAAGCAUGAGCAGAGAAUGCACUGAAACUU